GCAACUAAGCCCAGAGAUGGAUCCCAAAACUGAAGAAUUGGUUUAAUUAAAUUGAAAGCUCUGGUGCUUGUGGUAAUUGCUAUGAAGGAAUCCAUAUCCCAUCAGAACCCUCUCCCCUGGAGUUUGCUCCCUCUACUUUCUCUGCAGCAGCCUGCUAGCCAGAGUCAAAGACUGUGUGCAUUUGAAAUCUCCAACCUUUUAAAACAUUACUGUGAAGUUGAAAGUUCCUGGUGUCUUUUGAUUAAACAUCGUGCUAGCAACAAUAAUAUUGACCACGUUUGAGACAGAAGAGCCACAAGAGGGAAUUAGCCUAAAUUCCUAAGCGCCCACCUGGAAAGGAUCCUCCUUGGAAGAUCUGUCAGAUCCAUAGUAAACUUUGAAUGAAAGAGAAAUAAAAUGUUAUGUGUUAAAGUU
rnacentral:lncRNA from 10 species